rnacentral:rRNA from 2 species
GMMCUGAUGAUUUUGGUCGCCAACGAGUGGCGGACGGGUGAGUAACACGUAGGUAACCUGCCCAGAAGCGGGGGACAACAUUUGGAAACAGAUGCUAAUACCGCAUAACAACGUUGUUCGCAUGAACAACGCUUAAAAGAUGGCUUCUCGCUAUCACUUCUGGAUGGACUGCGGUGCAUUAGCUUGUUGGUGGGGUAAUGGCCUACCAAGGGCCGAUGAUGCAUAGCCGAGUUGAGAGACUGAUCGGCCACAAUGGGACUGAGACACGGCCCAUACUCCUACGGGAGGCAGCAGUAGGGAAUCUUCCACAAUGGGCGCAAGCCUGAUGGAGCAACACCGCGUGAGUGAAGAAGGGUUUCGGCUCGUAAAGCUCUGUUGUUAAAGAAGAACACGUAUGAGAGUAACUGUUCAUACGUUGACGGUAUUUAACCAGAAAGUCACGGCUAACUACGUGCCAGCAGCCGCGGUAAUACGUAGGUGGCAAGCGUUAUCCGGAUUUAUUGGGCGUAAAGAGAGUGCAGGCGGUUUUCUAAGUCUGAUGUGAAAGCCUUCGGCUUAACCGGAGAAGUGCAUCGGAAACUGGAUAACUUGAGUGCAGAAGAGGGUAGUGGAACUCCAUGUGUAGCGGUGGAAUGCGUAGAUAUAUGGAAGAACACCAGUGGCGAAGGCGGCUACCUGGUCUGCAACUGACGCUGAGACUCGAAAGCAUGGGUAGCGAACAGGAUUAGAUACCCUGGUAGUCCAUGCCGUAAACGAUGAGUGCUAGGUGUUGGAGGGUUUCCGCCCUUCAGUGCCGGAGCUAACGCAUUAAGCACUCCGCCUGGGGAGUACGACCGCAAGGUUGAAACUCAAAGGAAUUGACGGGGGCCCGCACAAGCGGUGGAGCAUGUGGUUUAAUUCGAAGCUACGCGAAGAACCUUACCAGGUCUUGACAUCUUGCGCCAACCCUAGAGAUAGGGCGUUUCCUUCGGGAACGCAAUGACAGGUGGUGCAUGGUCGUCGU